UUGAAAAUGGAUACAUAGAUUGUUAAAGAAGUACAACAAAUAAGAUAUAUUCUGCAGCUCAGACAAACACCUCUUGACUCAAGAUUUCUGAAGAAUGGUGAUUUAAGAGAAAACUGCCAAACUGGGAUACACCACUACUUAGAGGCAAAGCAUCUGGGAUUUCUGGUCAGGAGUUCUGUAGGCUCGGAGGAUCACCCCUCAAGGCCACCAUAAAAGCAGCCACAGCUAAAACAGACAGAUGUACCAUUGGAUUUGCAGUCAUAAGAGAAAGUAGGAAAUACUUACUAACAUUUCAGUUUUGGAGUGUCACAUGACAGCAUCUCUGCCCAGGCUCAGCCCCAGUGAACAAAACCCACCAGGGAUGGGUGAAGGAAAGGUCUUCUGUUGCACAAAGCUGUACUAAUUCAAUCCCUGUUCCCUGGGUACGGGUGCAGGGCAAUGACACUGAACAUGAGCACUAUUUCCCACAGGUAAUUCUGA